AGCAGGCUCCAGGCUCUGAGCUGUCAGCAAAGAGCACAAUGUGGGGCUUGAACCCAUGAACCAUGAGAUCAUGACUUGAGAAGUCGGACACUCAACUGACUGAGCCACCCAGGUGCCCCAAAACCAAAUUUAUAAUAACACAGUCGGUUAUUUCUAUUAUAAAAUACAAAUUAGCGGAACUAGAUCUGACUCAAGAUUAUCUCUGUGCUAGUGUGAAAGUCAUUUGCACCCGCUUUUACUAGUUUGCUUUCUUGAGGUGAAGGACAGGGCGAUGCUGAAAGUCUCCAUUAUCCAGCAUAUGUCCUCUCCUUCUGGGAGUGUGAAGUUCAGGGGAAAGUAUCUGUCGUGUGUGUAUGGGAGUAAAAUGAGACCAGAAACUGCUAGUUUGUCUCUUAAUCAACCUGUAACUUGGCUUUCAAGUCAUCUAGUUACCUCUGGCUUCUCCCCUUUAACCAACCUCUCCUAUUCCAUUGGGCCCAGCUUCCUAAAAAUGCAUUUUAUCAGAUCACCUCCCCCAUUACUGUCACACAGAAUCUAUGAUGGAUCCACUACCAACAUCUCAGCAAAGAUCGACUCUCCCGCCUGGUUUUCAAAGCCAACUCAACUUGGUCAUUGUCAAAUUCUGUCCAGCCAACCUAACUUCACAAAUCAUACCUCUAGCGAUUUACUUGUAUGUAUCCAAUAUCCAUCCGCUGCACUGUAUUUCAUCAGUCGGAAACACUGUAGUCAAAUAUUAUAGUGAAGUCAAGAGGAAAACUACCUUUCCUUUUUCUGGAAACCUGAGUAACACUGACCAACAGGCCCACUAGUGCCCUCCUUCAUGAAGCAUCAAAACAGAACAGCAGGAAGUUGGCCAUAUCAUUUGCAAGUUCUUCAAUCUAUGAGAAAAUGCAAUUUGUCCAACCCACGACUUCACAAUAACAUGGCGCUUUCUCAGACCUCUGUCCUGAGCCUCAACCCCCUCUUACCAGUGUUUUCAAUCUAGACAGUGUCCCUGUCGGAAGAGAAGGAAACUAAGAGAAGCUGCCUCCACCAGUAGACCUCACAGACCUUACUCUUAUCACUCUAACCAUUACUUUCUAAAAAGCCCUUUUAACUGUGUUUAGGCGUUUUCAUUAAAAAUGACAGACAGAGCUACCAUGGCAAGCUGACGCUCCCAACUGUAAACACCUGAGUGCCCUCUCCCAGCGACCACCCUGUCCCCAGUCACAUGCAGGCCUUCGUUUCAUGACGGUCCUUCACGGUCACAUUGCACUGUUCAAACUGUGUUGGUCGGAGGUCACUACGGACAUCCGUGGACCAACCGAGAGAAAGGGCUGCCAUGUUUAGCUCUGCCCUGCGUCUCUUCCUUUAAGCCCCCCCCCCCCCCGCCCUUUGCUGUUCCAUGUAACUUGGUAGGGCGGCUGCUGUUGGCCACCUUGGGCCCCUCAUCCUCACCAGUAAGAAAGGGAUCCUAACCCCAGAGGAGGGCAUUUGGGGAAAUGAAAUGAGUCCUGGGAAAGAAAAGUCUGCACUCCUUUCUCCUGGAUUGGUGGUUCUCAGGACUAUUUCAUUUUUAAUAGAAGCUGAAAACUGGUGACCACCUCUUGUCCCAUGUGAAUACGGACAACCGGAAGGGUAGAAGCGGGUCAGGGGCUGGGCACCAGCUGGAAGAAGCUGUGCUCACAAGUGAAGUUACCAUCGGCCACCAUACAACCUGUUACAAUACCGUGGACUUUAUUCCCUGUGCUGUGCCUUUUAUCCCCGUGCCUUGUUCAUUCCGUAACUGGAAACCUUUUCCUCCCUCUCUCCUCCACCCAAGUUAUCUACGCCCCCAGGCACCCCCUUCCCUCUGGCAUCCACCAAUUUUGAACUCAGCGUCUUUAUCAGUAACCCCUUAGAGUUAUCUCCUAAAGUCAUGAGGGCUAAAGACAAGAGAAAAUAACCCAAGUAUGACCAGGCAUGAGACCGUCAUCAAUAAAGGCCUGUUUCCUUUGACCUUCA